ACAUGCCUACAACAUAGUGUUAUUACACUUGAUACCAUUAUAACUUCAUAGUUAAGCACGCUUGGGAUAGAGUAGUAUUGGGAUGGGUGACCUUCCAGAAAUUCCUAGUGUUUUACAUGCC
rnacentral:rRNA from 1 species